CCAUGAUGAAGGAAGCAUCCCGUGAUGCUCUGCUCUACAAUCUGAUAACAGCCCUCUUUCCUGUGAUGCUAUGCUGUACAGCCUGACAACAGUCUUCCUUCCCAUGAUGACCUGCCCUACAGCCUGACAAGAGCCUCCCUUCUCAUGAUGCCCUGCCCAACAGCUGACAACAGUUCGCCCUCCCAUGAUGCUGUUUCCCAGAACCAACAACAGUCUGCCCUCCCAUGAUGCUCUGCCCCACAGCCAACAACAGUCUUCCUUCCCAUGAUGCUCUGCCCUACAACCGACAGCCACACCUCCCUUGGCACCAGGAUUUGCCUCCAGUCUGACAGCCUUCCUUCCCAGCAUGCCUUGCCCUGGCCUGGGCAGUGUUGUCCACACCCACAUGAGGGUGGUGUCGGUGCUGCCCACGUCCCAGCUGUGAGGUCAGCCAGCCACAGAAGCAGCAGCUGUGGGGACAAGCUUCUGUGCGCAGCUCUGUCGUUCAGCAGCUGUGUCCUUCAGAAAGCCCUGGAGCUCUCUGGGCCUCAGGUGGCCUUUCGGAGUGUAGACAACGCCAACAGCUCUGACCACAGACAGCCAUGGCAGGCAGGUCUGUCAGUGACUAAGGAAUAUGCCCAGCAGAGACACGGCAAGACCACAAACCAUCUUGGGACCCUGAGAAAGAAGACACGGUGGGCGGAUUCAACAGUCUUAUGGGGUCACAAUGCACAGGGCUUGUUUCCUAUGAAAGAGAGAAUCCACUU
rnacentral:lncRNA from 1 species